UUUAAAUCGACACCAAUUUGAGUUUUGAUACCACUAAAAAUCUGCUCAAAUUACUCAAAGUAUUAGCCUCCACUUUGAGUACUUAGGCAGCCGCAGAAUCCUUCUUAGUGCUAAUCAAAAGCUGCCAAAAAUAUGUCUGCGUGUGCCACAUUGAAUGUGCGCUCUAACCAGCCAACUUGAUUGGCCAAGACGAAAAUUGCCAAUACCCAGCGGAGGCGGAGGUACGUCAGGAGUAGACCAGAUGUGGGGGCGUGAUGCGUAAGAUGGAGUAGAGCCCUG
rnacentral:lncRNA from 1 species